CAGUAGCCACGGUAAUACGUAGGUGGCGAGCGUUGUCCGGAAUUAUUGGGCGUAAAGGGAGCGCAGGCGGACAUAUAAGUCCAUCUUAAAAGUGCGGGGCUCAACCCCGUGAGGGGAUGGAAACUGUAUGCCUUGAGUGCAGGAGAGGAAAGCGGAAUUCCCAGUGUAGCGGUGAAAUGCGUAGAUAUUGGGAGGAACACCAGUGGCGAAGGCGGCUUUCUGGACUGCAACUGACGCUGAGGCUCGAAAGCCAGGGGGGCGAACGGGAUUAGAUACCCGUGUAGUCCCUGUCUCUUAUACA
rnacentral:rRNA from 1 species